UUUUGUUUCUACGCAACCAAUACAAUCUACCUUAUGUUUAUUUAGAAAGAGUCUCAACUCCUUCUGUUUAUGGGCCUUAUUUAGGCCCCUUAUGUUCUAUGUGCAGAUAAUCAUGUUUGGGUAAAGCUGGAAGGGCCAGCAUCCCCUGGAUCAACACCUCUAUGCAUUAAAGAGAAACUGUUGGUUGUAUUCACUAGAGCAUCAACAAAUUGUUGUACAGUCUUGCCUUUUAACGAUCCUCUGCUGCUUACCCUGUUAUCAGCAUGUUCCUUUUGUUUUCCAGCCUCAUCUGAUUCUACAGUUGUUAUCAUUGCACUUUCCUUCCUUGUUCUAGGUACCCACUGCCAUAUAUCAGUUUGUGCUUUCUGUUUAGGCACAGCAGCCUUGUGUCAGACACACUUUCCUUCCCUGUUCUAGGUACCCACUGCCAUAUAUUAGUUUGUGCUUUCUGUUUAGGCACAGCAGCCUUGUGUCGGACCUUUGCUCCCUGCUCAUUUCCUUGCCUCUUCUUAUACCAGCAGUCCUCAGUACAAUGACCAAAUCUAACACAGUCUCUACAGAAUUUGGGCCUCCAUUCAUAGUCAAUCUCUUGUACAAGAACCCCC
rnacentral:lncRNA from 1 species